rnacentral:sRNA from 2 species
AGCUGCAAACCGGAUAACCAAUGAGCUUUCAUUGAUAUACAGUACAUACAUGUGCUUGUAAAGGACAUGUAUGUCCCAUGAAGAUAGCCUAUUUUCAAGGGCUGGACUGGAGCCGGUGGCAAGAGGCUAGAGCAGUCCUAGUAUCAGUAGCCGGCUAUUCAGUUUGUUGUUACUUGAAUAUGGAAGGGGUGGCCAGGGUCGUUUGUGAGGCUCAGAAGGUGUGAAGGCACGGCACACGCCAUGGUUCUGCUGGAAGUGUCCAGGAGUUAGAUCGGUGGAAUGAACGAGAGAGUUUGCAACCCUCGGAGAGCGCAGCAAGCAAAAAAACAAACCUUAUCGCCCAAGUUGAGUUCAGAUUGGAAGAAAGACAGUGAGUGCAUCAUACAUCUACAACGGCUGCUUCCAAGUACGAGCGAGGUAUGAGAUAUCAAGGACCUGAACAGGAGUUGAAAUGUCUGGUGGCUCAGUCAGCCCUAGGGCGAGGGGAAGAAGUCUCACUGGGCCUGGACAGGGACGUAGUAAUGGAACAUGAGAGAUCAUAGGAACUGUAAUAUUUGGACACGGCCCGAGAAAUGGCGGGAAUAAAGAGUACUCUGGAGAUGAAUGGAGCGAAUGGAAGAAGGAGAAAGAAAAUGGCACAGGCAGUGGUGAUUAACGGAGAACAGACAGAUAUUGGAAGAAAAGGAAUAGAGCGGAGCCGUACUGAUACUAGUUAGUACAUUCAGAACUUGAGGAUUGAAAAUUGAAACAUUCAACCAUGAAGGGAGGAUAUAUAAAAAUAGGCAUUCCUGUGUCAAUCAUGCAUGAAGAAGAACAAGAGAAUUGAAAUAAGAAAGAAGUAAUAAUGGGCAACAAACAGCAGCA